rnacentral:rRNA from 1 species
GCAGCCUGAUCCAGCCAUACCGCGUGGGUGAAGAAGGCCUUCGGGUUGUAAAGCCCUUUUGUUGGGAAAGAAAAGCAGUCGAUUAAUACUCGGUUGUUCUGACGGUACCCAAAGAAUAAGCACCGGCUAACUUCGUGCCAGCAGCCGCGGUAAUACGAAGGGUGCAAGCGUUACUCGGAAUUACUGGGCGUAAAGCGUGCGUAGGUGGUUGUUUAAGUCUGUUGUGAAAGCCCUGGGCUCAACCUGGGAAUUGCAGUGGAUACUGGGCGACUAGAGUGUGGUAGAGGGUAGUGGAAUUCCCGGUGUAGCAGUGAAAUGCGUAGAGAUCGGGAGGAACAUCCAUGGCGAAGGCAGCUACCUGGACCAACACUGACACUGAGGCACGAAAGCGUGGGGAGCAAACAGGAUUAGAUACCCUGGUAGUCCACGCCCUAAACGAUGCGAACUGGAUGUUGGGUGCAAUUUGGCACGCAGUAUCGAAGCUAACGCGUUAAGUUCGCCGCCUGGGGAGUACGGUCGCAAGACUGAAACUCAAAGGAAUUGACGGGGGCCCGCACAAGCGGUGGAGUAUGUGGUUUAAUUCGAUGCAACGCGAAGAACCUUACCUGGUCUUGACAUGUCGAGAACUUUCCAGA